rnacentral:rRNA from 1 species
GACAGAGGGUGCAAACGUUGUUCGGAAUUACUGGGCGUAAAGCGCGUGUAGGCGGCAAGGCAAGUCGGAUGUGAAAGCCCACGGCUCAACCGUGGAAGUGCACCCGAAACUGCCUCGCUAGAGUCUCGGAGAGGAAGGUGGAAUGCUUGGUGUAGAGGUGAAAUUCGUAGAUAUCAAGCGGAACACCGGUGGCGAAGGCGGCCUUCUGGACAGCGACUGACGCUGAGACGCGAAAGCGUGGGGAGCAAACAGG